GCGCGUGUAGCUCAGAUGGUUAGAGUACUUGCAUGACACGCAAGGGGUCCCAGGUUCAAAUCCUGGCACGCGCACCA
rnacentral:tRNA from 1 species